CCCCCUCUCGCCCUUGUCACCUUUGCGGCCCUGCAGUCCUGGGAAUCCCUGCAGGCCUGGGGGCCCGGUGUACCCCUGGGGGCCCACUGGCCCUGGCUGGCCCUGCAGAAACAACAGAUCGGAAGAACACACG